UACGAAGGGGGCUAGCGUUGCUCGGAAUCACUGGGCGUAAAGCGCACGUAGGCGGAUUGUUAAGUCAGGGGUGAAAUCCUGGAGCUCAACUCCAGAACUGCCUUUGAUACUGGCGAUCUUGAGUCCGGGAGAGGUGAGUGGAACUGCGAGUGUAGAGGUGAAAUUCGUAGAUAUUCGCAAGAACACCAGUGGCGAAGGCGGCUCACUGGCCCGGUACUGACGCUGAGGUGCGAAAGCGUGGGGAGCAA
rnacentral:rRNA from 1 species